AUUAAAUCCCGUCCAGAGUCAGGAAGGGAUUUAUUUAUGGAGAUACGCAUCCAGCCACAGAUCUCCUGACUUCUUCAGAGACCUGGAGAAGAACAGAGGUGGAUAAAGAACCAGACUCCAGGUACGCAGAGAGAGGGGCGGAUGAACUUCCAACAGAGAUCACGACGACACACUGAGCGAUGACUGCAAAGCAACAAUUAUCACAGUGAUAAGGAAGAUAGUUCACCCGAUGUCACAGGAAGUCCAUAAAGAUCAAGGACAACAACCACCCGAGCCACUGCCUGUUCACCCCGCUAUCAUCCAGAAGGCGAGGUCAGUACA